GAAGUCUGACGAAGGAAAAUUCCGUAUAAGUUUUAUACGGCGAAAUGCGAUGGUCUUAAAACAGUAUACGUUAUUUGAUGGUCGCUUACUACUUGGAUAACUGUGGUAAUUGUAGAGCUAAUACAUGCGCCAAGACCCGACUUCUCGGAAGGGUUGUGUUUAUUAGAUACAGAACCAACCCACUUUCGGGGGUGUUUUGGGGAUUGAUGAUAACCAUUCCGAACCGCAUGCUUUGCGGCGAUGAAUCAUUAAAGUUUCUGACCUAUGACCUUCCGACGGUAGGGUAUUGGCCUACCGUGGCUUUGACGGUAACGGAGAAUUAGGGUCGAUUCCGGAGAGGGAGCCUGAGAAACGGCUACCACAUCUAAGGAAGGCAGCAGGCGCGCAAAUUACCCAAUACUGACACAGGGAGGUAGGGACAAGAAAUAACAAUGCACGGCUCCAUGUAUUGCAAUUUGGAAUGAGGAGAAUUUAAAACCCUUUACGAGUAUACAUUGGAGGGCAAGUGGGGAGCCAGCAGCCGCGGUAAUUCCAGAUCCAAUAGCGUAUAUUAAAGUUUUAGCGGUUAAAAAGCUCGAAGUUGGAUUUCUCGCUCAGGGCACCCGGUCCCGACUUUGAUCCUGUAUUGGG
rnacentral:rRNA from 1 species